UACGAAGGGGGCUAGCGUUGUUCGGAAUUACUGGGCGUAAAGGGCUUGUAGGUGGCCAACUAAGUCAGACGUGAAAUCCCUCGGCUUAACCGGGGAACUGCGUCUGAUACUGGAUGGCUCGAGUUUGGGAGAGGGAUGCGGAAUUCCAGGUGUAGCGGUGAAAUGCGUAGAUAUCUGGAGGAACACCGGUGGCGAAGGCGGCAUCCUGGACCAACACUGACACUGAAAAGCGAAAGCCAGGGGAGCAAACGGG
rnacentral:rRNA from 1 species